rnacentral:tRNA from 1 species
UCUAAAAUGGCAGAUCAGUGCACAGGAUUUAAGCUCCUGAUAGGAAUUAUCAAUUCUUUUAGAA